GGCAAAGGGCGAAGCAGAGCCUCAGCCCGGCCUCCUCGGGACAGCUGCGGCCACGCACCCACAGCACCUGUCAGCAACCUUGGAGGCUGCAGCCCGCGACGAAGUGGGGAUGCAAAUGCAGACCGAAGAGUUAGAACGUGUUACAGUCCGCUGUCCAGUCUCAUGCGCUAAGAAGUGUCCUGAAGAAAAGUGUCUCCAGGUGCUAAGAAAUGUCAUGGAGGUGCUAAGAAUUGUCCUGGGAAUACCCUCUGCUGCAACCAGGAAGGAUGCAUAUGCACUUGCAUAUGAAAAUAAAACUGACCCUAUGAAUCUUGGGAGGGUUCUUUGAGAGGAACAGCACCCCAAGAUGGGAAGCUGGACGCAUCGGAGGAGAACUAGAUGGUGCCCUGGCCGAGGAAGAAGUGGACACACCCCCUGGCCUGGUCUGAAGACUCGCCAUGAUCUACUAAAAGUCUGACUGGAAUGGGACUGGGCCAGAUCGAGUGACAGAUUCAGAGAGAAACUUUCAAGGUUUUUCCAUGAGGGUAAAGAGCUGACGUCUGCCGCUUUGCACUUCAGUGACAGACCUCCACCACUCUGCCUUCUUCAGGGUUGACCAGACAGAGCGUCUAGCUGUUCCCAUGGAACAAGGACUCGGCACCUACUGCUUGCAGCUGAGUGAUGAACUGAGACAUUUCCUGCUCCUCCGGAUUACUACAGCAGCAUGGAAACUGUUGGGCGCUACCACUCAGAUGAUCACUUUAAUUAAGAGCUGAAUAUUAAUAAAGGCAUUAGCCCUGUUUAUUUCAGUUCCAUACCUAAGAAAAACUAACAUAGCUUUUCUUUCCAUUUACAUGACCAGAAUUAAAUCUCAAUAAGAUCUUUCUACAGUGGAAGAUAAAAAAGCCUACAAAUCAGAGUAUGAAUGUGAGCCUCUACUAUUAGUGGGGACAUCAAAAAGCUUUAGACAAUCAUCCUCCAGGGUAGGUUCCUCCUUAGGCUACAUACAGGAUCCUUUACCACUGGGAACUACUCAGCAUAUAUAGAAAUCAAAGCAGGUACCUGUCCUGGUUCCGGCCAAGAUCAGCAGGAGGGAGCGUGGCCAAGAUAUUGUGUUAUUCAUUACCAUCUUACAUCAUCGCUAGAGGUAGGCAAAAGGGACUCUCAGCUUCUGAGAAGGGCGUCCCUUUCAAAUGGAACAAAGCAUUGUGGGGUGGGGAACCUGUCAGCCACUGUUCAUUGUCUCAUGAUCUAUGGUGAACAUUUUUGAAUAUGAAUCAUUCCCUUUUUGCAUACUGUGGAAAAUAGGGUUAUUUAAUUCAUGUUCUAUAAAUAAUUAUAGACUAGAAACUGUAGUAUAUUGUAUAAAGGUAUGUGUGUCUGCUCAACCCGCACGUUUCACGGACUUCUGUAAAGCACCUCUCCUGAUCUCCCUGGUCCAAAAAUAGAAGGUGAGAACACGAGGCAAUGAUGAGACAAUGAACACGGACCAACCUACCCCUGCCUACGUGCAGCGAAAAUUACCAGGACUUACACCAGUCGAAUGCUACGUGCCAGAGGGAUCAUCACACACUUCUACGACGGUUAAAUUACUCAAAGCAAGGACUAACUCUGGACAUUAGCAUUUGAAUGGGCCAGGGGACCCUUUCAGGAUUUAGUAUAAACAAAGUUAAUGGCCGGUGCUUAGUGAAAACAAUGGGAGAAAGGCUGCCGAGGGGGAAAUUAAGGGUAUUUAAGUUAAGCCUCUAGGUGGGCAAGGUGUGAACCCAGCUAGAGACACAGAUGGCCAGGUUCCGUGUCUCUGGGUCAUCCUUGGCUCAUUUUUCCCGGGAGAAAUUCUGUCAAGUAAGUGUCGCUGGU